AAAACAUGUCUUUAAGAUUUAUAUAAUUUAAAGUCUAAUCUGCUCCAUGAUUAAUUAGUAUUAAAUAGCUGCAGUAUCUUGACUGUACAAAGGUAGCAUAAUCAAUAGUUUUUUAAUUAAAAGCUGGUAUGAAUGAUUUGAUAAGGUAAAUAUUGUCUCAAAUUUAAUAAAUUUAAAAAUUUUUUUUUAGUAAAAAUACUAAAAUGAAUUUAAAAGACGAGAAGACCCUAUAGAUUUUUAUAUUUUGAACUUUUUAAUAUUUAAAAAUAAAAAGAUAAUGAAAGUUAAUUAUAUUGGAUUGGGGAAAUUAUUAAAUUAAUAAAAUUUUAAUUUUUAAUGAACAAAGAUUAUUGAAUAUUUGAUCUUUAAUUAAAGAUAAAAAGAUAAAAUUACCUUAGGGAUAACAGCGUAAUUUUUUUUGAUAGUACAUAUUGAUAAAAGAGUUUGCGACCUCGAUGUUGAAUUAAGAUAAAAUUUUAACGUAGGAGUUAAAUAUUUUUGGUCUGUUCGACCAUUAAAAUCUUACGUGAUCUGA
rnacentral:rRNA from 1 species